CAUCUUAUAUUACGCGCAAGCGUAAUACGUGUUCGAUCUACAGACACAAAAAUCCAGUACUAUGUAAAGAGCCAACAGAUGAGAUCGCUCGAUGUUUUUGCAAAAUGUUGCCACUAGCAAUGCGUAAUCGAUGGGAAAUUGGCAGUCUGUUGACUUAGAGAAGCCAAUCGGUCGCAUGCGUUCGUGUUUUUUUCAUUGAAGGGAGUAAUGGAAGUUAAAUUAUUAAAAUAGCACGUUUUGAACGCCCAGUGUAAUUUGCCCAGAAAGAGGGGGAAGAAAUAUACGCCUUCUUUUUUACGCUGUUGCAAGCGCGACUGUAAAUUUUCAAACGGUUCAUCGAACACCCUUAUUGUCGUCAGUAAUGUCGAGUAUCACAUUAUGAAUGCUUUGUUACACGAGAACUUUUCAUGAGUGAAGAUAAUCAGAAAAUAAAAAUUACAAAAAGAUAUCUUUGUCUAUUAAAAGACACGCAAAGUAGUUUCAUCCCAAGCAUGUACAUCGUUUUUUUCGGAAAAUUCUGUGAAUCCCUGGAGAUCAAUAUUGUCAUGCGGGAAUACUUGCCGCAAAAGGAAAUUAUUAAUGAACACUUUUUAACUACGAGAAAAUAUUUUCGUAAUAAAAGUGAAUUAGCCUAUAUUAUCUUAAUUUCAAUUGGGAAUAAUAUUUUUUUAACGUGCGGAUUCUGAAGAAUCUUUUUGCACAAUAGAAUAUUAUGAUUGCUAUGUCUGGUAACAAAGAAACUUUCAGUUUAACUCGAUAUAACGUACAAUACGUUUCAAACUUUUUCAUAGUUUCAAACUAUGAUAUAUUGCGAAUUAUAGAUUAAACAUUAUAGAACAUCAAUACAUCACUCUGAGUAGGAUGUUGCUGUACUCGCAAGCAGCUGUGACGAACUAUUUCUGAGAUCAAAUGAGAAAAAGAAUUUCUUCACGCUUUUCGACUCUGCUAUAAGUAGACAUAUUAUCUUUUUCUUCUAUUUUCUAAAUCGUCGAGAGAAAAUGAUAUAUGCAUGCAGACAAUUGGUGCAAUUAUGAAAAUUGAUCCAUACGUGCAAGUAAUACAGCUUCCCACGGUGAAAAUAACUGACUAUAUUCCAAAUACUUUGGUCAAUAUUGAAAAUAACGCAUGCGCAAUAAUGAUUUUCUAUGACCAAUUGUUCUUCUAGUCUCAGUAUUGUUUAAGCAACGGAUCGGAAUGAUUAAAUAAAAUCAAUUAAAAAAUUACUUACUCGAAAGAGAGUACAGCUUAAAGAUAUUACACCAAUUACGAUUAAAGGAAAGUACCACAGAUGAAAAGAAAAGAGAAUAAUUAUUUUGAAUAAAUAAGCGUUGCUCUCCACAAAUCUUCUUUGCUACUUUGUCGUCAUUUUAUACUCGUGACCGCAUGGCAUGCAUGACAGUAAAAUAUGACACAGCCGAAGUUAUAAGCUAGAAGAAUUGAUUUUUGCAUAAUUAAGAACAAUUUUUGGACUGGUAAUGGCGCUACAUACCAAAGAGUAUCAUAUCUAAAAUUUAAAUAGACAAAACAUUAAUGUUUCUACUAAAGGUCAAAUUUUAAGAGACGUGUGUAUAAGACAUUAACUGAGAAAAUAUAACCGCAGCUUAUGCCACAUACACGUGAUGAUACAUAAAUAAGUAUUAGUAUAAAGUAAAGGAACGAAGUAAACGAACUAAAUGAACGAUAAGGUAAUAAAGAAAUGAAAUGACUGAUACAAAGUUACAUUGUAAAACACAAGCAAGUAUUUAUAUAUUAUCAUAAUACUUACAUAGAUUCUAAUACUUCUGCACUGUGUUCGAUAUAAGAUUGCCCAAGAAAAUUUGCCACGAACAUAUAUGCGAUACAGCUAAAGAACAUCAGGCAGGACAGGAAAAUCUCAAAGAAGUCAUUGAACAGUAUUAUAGCAUUAUAUAGCUACAAAAAAUACAUUAUAUGCUAUGUUAUAUGUGAUUACAUAUAGUAUAAAGUAAUAUUGUAUAUAAUGCAACUAAUAAUAUAUAAGAUCAGAAGCGCACAUACUUUACAGAAGCCUUAAAAAAUAAAAAAAUAAUUCCAGUGCCAUGGAUUUGUGAGAAAAUGUACAAUUCUCGGUAAUAAGUUUUGCUUUAAAUACUAUUUAAGAAAAUGAACAGGUCGAUAUCACUAACAAUAAUUAACAUCACCGAAAAAUAUUAAAGAUACAAAGAUACAUUGCAUUUUUUGAUACAAUUUUGUUUACACAAGAUUUAUACACUUAUAUUCUUAUGUAUAAAAGAAUUCUCGAGAUUCUAAGUAAUUCCAAUGCGCAAAGCAGAUAUACAGGGUGUUUCACACAAGGCGAAAAACCCUUCGCUCAUAGGUAGAUCUCGUUAAAAUUGAAUUAAAAAGUGUUAUAGUAUUUUGCAAAUACCCACGUAAAAUUUCGAGUUAUUAAUAAAAGAAGCUUAGCGAAUCAGUACGCGCGUUAGCGCGGCUCGUGCAGCGAGUGACGCAAUGAGGCAGCGGUGCCAGAAAGCGUGCUUUGUAACAUGCGGUGGGGAUGGAGUGGGAUGGUCUCGCGAAUCGUCGCACGCUUUCUGGCCUCGCCCUCUCCACUCACAUCAGUGAAGCUACGCUCGUACUGAUUAGCUCAUCUUCUCUUAUUGAUAACUCGAAAUUUUACGUGGUUACCUACCUGUGGGCGAAAGGUUUUUCGUCUUAUGCUGCGAGGCACCCUGUAUAUACAGGAUUCUAUUAUAUUAAUAAUUACUACUUACGCGAAACAUAAUGCAACUUAAAGACAGUACGCAAAAUAAAAGUAAUGGGAAAUACCACACAUUGAACGAUAUUAUCAAGUUAUUGGUGAAUCUUCAAAGACAGAAAACAUCUAUUUGUAACUUUAAUCACUAUUAAAUCUAUAUUUACACACAAAAAUUAAUUAAACAAAUGUAAAUAUGAAGAUAUAAUAGUAAAUAUAUUUUAUAUAAACUAACUGCAUGCUUCUUCUAUGAAUGUGAACUGAAAGACAAAUGCUUCGAUGCAUAAAUAGCAUUCUUUGAGCAACAGGAAGUUGUAGCGUACGGAUGGUUACUGCAUUUCGGAUUAAACAACUGAAAACAAAUUGAUUUUACGUGGUCGGCAUUCAUUCAUUGGUGCGAUAAUAUCAAGAAUCACAGCUCUACAUUCAAAAGUUAGAAAUACGAUUGAAGCCAAACCAACGAAAACUGGAGGAAACAUCCGAAUUAGAGUUAAAAUAUAUAACAAAUGUAAUAAAACUAUAAAGAAAUCGUGAUUUCAUUUUUGAUCCACUUACUAAUUGCUGAAAAUAUGUAAAUAUAAGCUUCAAAGAGAUAUUCUUCAAAUAUAUUCAUUGCUUCACUGUUUUCAAACAAUUUCCAAUCAAACUGCAUAUGUUUUAAAGCUUUCUUUAUCUGUUCUUAAACAUUGUCACAAUUUGAAGCACACCGUAAUUAAAUCUUUGGAAAUUUCAUAUAAUGUACGGAAAUUGCAAAUAUUACUCACAAUUUCAGAGUUGAAAUAAAAAGAAUAGUAACUCAGGAUUUGUAUAAAAUAAACAAAAAAAAAAGAUAAUCUUUUUAGAGUGCAAUCCAUGUUACAUGCCAUCGUU